rnacentral:rRNA from 1 species
AGAGUUUGAUUCUGGCUCAGGAUGAACGCUAGCGGCAGUCCUAAUACAUGCAAGUCGAACGGAACAGCAAUGUUUAGUGGCGGACGGGUGCGUAACACGUAAGCAACCUACCCAUGAGUGAGGGAUACCGGCUUGAAAGGGCCGUUAAUACCGCAUGAUGCAGCGGGCCCGUUAGGGGCAAUAGUUGUUAAAGCUGCAAGGCGCUUAUGGAUGGGCUUGCGUCUGAUUAGUUAGUUGGCGGGGUAACGGCCCACCAAGACGACGAUCAGUAACUGGUCUGAGAGGAUGAUCAGUCACACUGGCACUGAGACACGGGCCAGACUCCUACGGGAGGCAGCAGUAGGGAAUAUUGGGCAAUGGGCGCAAGCCUGACCCAGCCAUGCCGCGUGCGGGAUGAAGGAGCUUCGCUUCGUAAACCGCUUUUAAUUGGGACUAAGGGGUUUGUAACUCAAGCCAUUGCAGGUACCAAAGGAAUAAGGACCGGCUAACUACGUGCCAGCAGCCGCGGUAAUACGUAGGGUCCAAGCGUUGUCCGGAUUUACUGGGUUUAAAGGGUGCGUAGGCGGCUGUUUAAGUCGGUGAUGAAAUGCCGGGGCUUAACCUUAGGCGCUGUUACCGAUACUGGACGGCUAGAGCUAGCGUAAGGCAGCUGGAAUAAGUGGUGUAGCGGUGAAAUGCGUAGAGAUCACUUAGAACACCGAUUGCGUAGGCAGGUUGCUGGCGCUAAGCUGACGCUGAGGCACGAAGGCAUGGGGAUCAAACAGGAUUAGAUACCCUGGUAGUCCAUGCAGUAAACGAUGGAUACUAGCUAUUUGGGAUGCAAGUCUUGAGUGGCCAAGCGAAAGUGAUAAGUAUCCCACCUGGGAAGUACGCCCGCAAGGGUGAAACUCAAAGAAAUUGACGGGGGCCCGCACAAGCGGUGGAGUAUGUGGUUUAAUUCGAUGUACGCAAGGAACCUUACCUGGGCUAGAAUGCGCGCGACCGGCUCAGAGAUGGGUUUUCCCCGCAAGGGGCGCAAAGCAAGGCGCUGCAUGGCUGUCGUCAGCUCGUGCCGUGAGGUGUUGGGUUAAGUCCCGCAACGAGCGCAACCCCUGUGAUUAGUUGCCAGCGCGUCAUGGCGGGGACUCUAAUCAGACUGCCUUCGUAAGGUUGAGGAAGGGGGGGACGACGUCAAGUCAUCAUGGCCCUUACGCCCAGGGCUACACACGUACUACAAUGGUCGGUACAAAGGGCAGCAAGACCGCGAGGUGGAGCGAAUCCCAAAAAGCCGGUCUCAGUUCGGAUUGGAGUCUCAACUCGACUCCAUGAAGUUGGAGUCGCUAGUAAUCGCGUAUCAGCAACGACGCGGUGAAUACGUUCCCGGGCCUUGUACACACCGCCCGUCAAGCCACGGAAGCUGGGGGCGCCUGAAGUCGGGGGAUCAAAUCCCUGCCGAGGGCGAAACUGGUAACUGGGGCUAAGUCGUAACAAGGUA